rnacentral:lncRNA from 1 species
AGAACCCCACCUGACCCACCCACACUGGGGGCUCUGUUCCCACAGCUCUUCAUGAUCUCACGCCUUCUAAAACCUCGCUCAGCUGAUGAAGCUAUUCAUUGAAUCAAUGAAUAUUUACUGAGUACCUACUCUGUGCCAGGCAGUAUUCCAGGGCUUGGAGAGACAUUGCUGAACAAGACAGAUGAGGGCCCUGUCUUCAUGGAGCUCACAGUCUAGUGGGGAAGGCACAGAAUCAAGAAGUGAAUAAGUAACUAAAAACUAAUCACAAAUUGUGGCAAGUGCUGAAGAGGAAAGAAACAGGAUACUCAGCGUUACAAGGAAAUGGAGACCUGGAACGUUUGAGCCAUUUGGCCAAGUCACAUGGUCUCCGAAAUGCAGCCCAGAGAGGGGAAGCAGCGAUGGCCUGCUGCAGGAGCCUCCUCACUCAGGGACCCUAGGACAGUCCUCUUUGGCUCCCCCAACCUAUGAGCCUGCGGCAGAGCCUCCAGGCCCAUGUUCAAAGGAUGACAUAACUCCCGACUCUUGAUCACCUCUGUGUGUGGAGAGCAAGUCAGGCCUCUCUCCAGCCUCACCCAGGAGUCCCAGAGAGCAGGCUGAGGGCUGGCAGCUGCUGCCCUCAGGGCAGACUCCCGCAGAGCCCCAGUCCUAACCCCGCUUACAGACCAGAUUGUCACUGCUUGCUGAGUCCUCGCUGUGCCCCCGCACUGUGCGCUCCAUGUGCAGGCCCAAGCGAGCAACCCGAUGAAGAGCAUUAUCAACCCC